rnacentral:lncRNA from 1 species
CCUUGAGGGAAAAAUCUCCUAUUCAGAAUUAACAGCUGCUAUUAAAAGAAUGAAAAGUAACAAAAGCCCAGGAUCUGAUGGGUACACCAGUGAGUUUUUUAAAUUCUUUUGGAUAGAUUUAGGUAAAUUUGUUCUUAGAUCAAUCAACUAUGGGUAUAAUAUGGGUGAAAUGUCAGUAUCCCAAAAAAGAGGGAUAAUUACUUGUAUACCAAAGGGAGAUAAACCAAGACAAUAUAUGAAAAACUGGCGACCAAUAAGUCUUUUAAACACAAUAUAUAAACUUGGGUCUAGCUGUAUCGCAGAGCGUUUGAAGUCUAUUUUAUCACUUUUAAUAAAUAAUGAUCAAACAGGGUUCAUUCCUGGAAGAUAUAUUGGUGAAAAUACUAGACUAAUUUAUGAUAUUUUAUUGUAUACAGAAGAACAUGAUAUACCUGGUAUUCUCCUCCUUAUUGAUUUUGAAAAGGCGUUUGAUUCAAUUUCUUGGAGUUUUAUUGAAAGUGUUUUAGACUUUUUUAAUUUUGG